rnacentral:rRNA from 1 species
CCAAAAAUAGCACUAGCCUGACUACUAAUAGAUAUGGACUUUAAAUUUGAAGAAUUUGGCGGUGGUUUAAUCUUAUUAGAGGAAUCUGUUUUUGAAUCGAUAUGCCACGUGGGAUCUUACUUGUUUUAUUUAGCUUAUAUACCGUCAUUAUCAGAUAAUUUUUAGAGAAAUUAAUUAUUAAAAUUUAUUAAAGAGAUAAGAGAAAUUAGAUCAAGGUGUAGUUUAUGAACAAGUUAAAAUGGAUUACAAUAAAAUAUAUUUAUUACGGAGUAGGGGUGAGAAAUAAAUGCUAUGAAGGAGGAUUUAAUUGUAAUUAAAGUUUAGUAAGCUUUAAAGAUAUAAGCACUAAAUCAUGUACACACCGCCCGGUCACCCUCCACAUUUUUGAGGGAUAUCAUCUCGCUUUUAUGGACUGGGCUACAUUAAAGUUUAAAAUGGGCGGCACAAAAGGUUAAGAAAAACGCCAGGGGGCAAACAACCCCAAAAAGCCGACAAUCCGUUCCGAAUUUAAGCUUUAACUCAAUCGCAACAAGCCAGAAAAAGUAGUAAUCCCGGACCAGCAUGCCCCGGAGAAAUACACCCCCCGGGGCCAU